GACAGAGGUCUCGAGCGUUAGGCGGAAUCACUGGGCUUAAAGCGUGUGUAGGCGGAGUGCUAAGUACCUUGUGAAAUCCCUCGGCUUAACCGAGGAACUGCCUGUCAAACUGCAUGGCUUGAGACCGGGAGAGGUGAGUGGAAUUCCCAGUGUAGCGGUGAAAUGCGUAGAUAUUGGGAGGAACGCCAGUGGCGAAGGCGGCUCACUGGACCGGUACUGACGCUGAUGCGCGAAAGCGUGGGGAGCAAACAGG
rnacentral:rRNA from 1 species